rnacentral:lncRNA from 1 species
CUAUGGUACCAACUCUUUUGCUGUGCCAGCACAGAGGUCUCCAGAGCGACUCUCCUGAAUCAGAUAGCAGGGGCUGUUUGCAGUUUCGUUUCCACGCUUCGCUGACUGGUUAGACAGUGAUCACAGGUUCGGAAGCACGAGCCUCACCACAGCGGAGGAGGCCUCCACUCUGAAGCGGGAUUCCACGCUCCUGCACCCUAAGAUCAGCUAGACUCUCUGCCUUGUUUCAUCUUCUUUCUUUUCCUAAAGAAUCACGGGGAGAACUGACCUCUCUGGGACUCAACCGUGGCUGGAAGGGGACAGGAGAAGCCCUUUCUGGAGGACAGCUGAGCCCUGCAGCUGCCAUCCUGCCUGGCAGGCUAGGGCUGGGCUGCGGGAAGGCCCCCCAGGAGGGAGGUCCGGCCACUGCACCCCGAGGAAAGGGCUGCUUUCGGCACUCUGCGUGGAGGUCCUGGCUUCUGCCGUCCCUGGAGGCUCCGUUCCCGUUUCGCCAGCUAUUUUGCUGCCUCGGCCAUCUGUUCCCUCCCUGUCAUCUCCUCUCUGCUUUAACCUUAACCACUACUUCACUGCAGAUGGUACCAGGCAGUUCUGCUCUCGACAUCCUUCACGACGCCUGGCCCUCCUUCUCAUCUCCAGCAAGUGAACCGCUCUGUCCUUUUUAAAGCCUCAUCCCAAAGACACGGCCAGAGCUUGGAGUUGGAUUCGCCCCACACAACUCCCCCUCUUUGAUGCCAUCUGCUUUCAACUCCACCACUGGCCAGGGGCAAACACCUACCCCUUCCCCUGCCUUUUCCUCCUGAGACUUCUUCUCAAACUCGGCCAAGAAGCUCUCCUGGCAUGGACAGCGUGUCUGCUCCGGGUCUCUACCUGGUCUCCAUCAACAGAGCCAUGUAACCGCCCAGAGGGCUCCAGGUCCGCAAGCUGAGGCGGAGGCCAGAAACUCUGAAGUUCACUCCUACUGUGGAGGAACGAGGGCUCGUGCUGGGAGUUUGGGUCAUGAACAGUUUCCCUGUAGAAAAUGGACCUGAACACUCUGCAGUAAGGAAUUGUUUCCCAUGCUGGCAUGGUGGGAACCGAACCAAAACACAUUUUCUAUGUUGUCUGAGCUCACAGGGAACAUCCCUCUGCUGUCCUUGCUGUUAUUCUGGCAUGCUGGUGAGAAAAUGCAUGCAUGGGCUUUACUUAGCAACUCGCUCUGCCUCUCCUCUCUGUCAGGGCGCUCCCCUAAAAUCUCUCCUCUUGACGUCUUUUUUCUGGCAUAAGGACCCGGAGCUUUGAGGAGCGCAGCAGCCCAGAAGCUCCUAAGGAGAGAAGCUGUUUUGGUGAGAUUGGUUCCACCAGGCUACAUGCCUUGACUGGGACAGAAAUGGGCUGGGAAGGCCGAAAUUUGACUUCUGCACCUGGAUUUGGGCUAAAAAGUCUCACAGCUCAGCCUCCUUGAUAAGGGUUCUUCUAUCUCCCCUCUAUACUUCCUCUGCAGCAGAAAAGAGUAUCUUGGCCGUGCAGGGAACGCUCUUCUCUCACUCUCGCCACUGGGGUUAAGGGCAGCUACAUUACUAUAGCUCCAAGUCUUGGUUGCCCCCAGAGAGAGGCAGAGAUGUAGCCUGCCCACAUCUGGACACUUGAAGACUCUCCAAACACCUAGAGGAGCUGUGGAUUCAAGUGAAGCAACCAUCUGAUGCCACCACGGUCCCUCCUUCCCUUUGCCUUCCCUUCUUCCCACAAAAGAGAAGCCCAAAUCCGCCACCAGACCAGCCCAUCUGCCCGUGGAAACCAAGGGAACCAAAUGCAUCGUACUGGGUUGCAGGCCUUAAUCUAGCUCUCGCUGAAUUAUUCAGGGAUGGCAUUAACUUAUAAAUGAGUGUGUUUGACUGAUUUUGUGGUUGAUGUACAGAUAAAGUCUAAUGAAAGACAAAAAAAAAAAAAAAAAAAAAAAAAAAAAAA